rnacentral:rRNA from 1 species
GACGAACGCUGGCGGCGUGCUUAACACAUGCAAGUCGAACGGCAAGGCCCUGCUUUCGUGGGGUGCUCGAGUGGCGAACGGGUGAGUAACACGUGAGUAACCUGCCCUUGACUUUGGGAUAACUUCAGGUAACUGGGGCUACUACCGGAUAGGAGCUCCUGUUGCAUGGUGGGGGUUGGAAAGUUUCGGCGGUUGGGGAUGGACUCGCGGCUUAUCAGCUUGUUGGUGGGGGAGUGGCUUACCAAGGCUUUGACGGGUAGCCGGCCUGAGAGGGUGACCGGCCACAUUGGUACUGAGGUACGGCCCAGACGCGUACGGGGGGCAGCAGUGGGGAAUAUUGCACAAUGGGCGGGAGCCUGAUGCAGCAACGCCGCGUGCGGGAUGACGGCCUUCGGGUUGUAAACCGCUUUCGCCUGUGACGAAGCGUGAGUGACGGUAAUGGGUAAAGAAGCACCGGCUAACUACGUG